rnacentral:sRNA from 1 species
GGCUGGACAGCAGCGUUGGUGGGAGCAGGAGAUUAAAAUAAAUGGGAAUAUUCAAAAGGGAGAAUUAAUUACAUAUAACUUGACAGAGCUAAUUAAACCAGAAGCUUAUGAAGUCCGACUGACUCCUCUCACCAAAUUUGGUGAAGGAGAUUCAACAAUUCGUGUGAUCAAAUAUAGUGGAGAAUUUCAUUGUGGAUUUGAAGAUGGUAAUAUUUGUUUGUUCACUCAAGAUGAUACAGAUAAUUUUGACUGGACAAAACAAAGUACAGCAACAAGAAAUACAAAAUAUACUCCUAAUACAGGACCUAAUGCUGACCGUAGUGGUUCCAAAGAAGGUUUUUAUAUGUACAUUGAGACAUCACGACCCAGAUUGGAAGGCGAAAAGGCUCGACUUCUCAGCCCUGUUUUCAGCAUAGCUCCCAAAAACCCUUAUGGACCCACAAACACUGCAUAUUGUUUCAGCUUCUUUUAUCACAUGUAUGGACAACAUAUAGGUGAGAUAGCAAUAAUUACUGAUUCUUACAAAAUUAAUGAUAACUAAGAAGAAAAAGGUUCAUAAACACACAGGAUUAAAACAAUUUUUGGUCAAAGAA